AGAGAUUAUAAAUAGAGGAACGGGAGAAAAUUAAAAAAGGACAUAAAAAUUAAAAAUUACUAUAUAAAUAGAGGGACUUGAAAAAUAAAAAACUAGUACAGGAGCUUUUUGAACAAAAUGACAUAGUACAAGGGGCUCUAGAUGGGUAGCCUUUAGAUAACUGACAUAAGUAAAAUGAUACAAAAAAUAUUAUAGUAUUAAAUAUGAUUUUGUUAAUGUGUCAUCCGGACUUGGAAAAUUUUGAACUUGAGGGAAAUAAACACACUAUGUUAAGGAGUUCUACUGAGAGCAACAUUAGAAAUGCAGCUGCAUGCUACAGUUGAUCCUAUUUCAUAAUUACCGACUUUUAAUCUAAUGGUUCUAGCGUGUUGAUUCGCAUUUAACCUAAUACCGUCUCUUUGAAUCCAACAAGAAAGAGGAUCGGAGGCCAAGGAAACAUCAUCAAUACAGAGGAUUAUCAAUGAAUCAAUUUCUGUUGCAGUUGGAGGAUCUAUUUACAUUCCAAUUCUUUUAACAACGAGUUAACUCUUCUUCGUGAGGUCCAGGUUUUGAUUCUUUUUCUUCUGCAGUUCGCUAUGAUAACGCACCAUGAUGUUGAUCUUCAUGCAGGAUACAUGACCGCGGAUUCUUGUACGCACGAUCGUCGAGUAUCUUUAUCCCUUUCUUCAGGCCUUCCGUUGGAUCUGCUUGUCCCGUGAAGAAAAGACGGUCGAUUACUUGCAGUGCUGUUCGCUUACCGUAGGAUGUCAUGCGUCUCAAGGGGAACACUCGGGCUGCAAGUGAGGAAUAAGUGACGAUGGCUAAACGAUCAAUUGGACGGAGAGAGAACACCACUAAUGCCAUGGACUGCUUGACAAGCCUCAGAUGCGGUCCGUUGGGGCUUGUUAUCAGAACCAUGUCUAUAGCUCUUUGCUGUGUUGACUGUACAGAUAGAUAGGCAGGAGUGAGUCUCACAUUUGAGGUGUAUGAGUGCGGAGAUGGUGGGUGUGAAAACAAUGAAGAAGGGUGGUGGGGAUAUUGGCAGUGUGAGAGCCAUCCAGAGGGUUGUGUGAAUGGAUGGUGAAAGAGUGUUAGCGGUAUGGGCACAAGGGAGAAGUGAAGGCGUGAAUGAGUUGAGGUGUCAUCAGGCUCAAUGGGGUCAUCAUCAUUGUAACGGGCAGAGCGCAGGAAAGAGCGCCUGUGGACCCGGAAAGUGGCAAUAGAAUCAUCAAGGAUUUGAAAAACGGGAUCAGAUUGGGUGCAAGAAAGGGAACACGGUGGGUUUAGGUUGCGGGGAAGUUGGGUCCAGUGGGCACGGCAGAUGGGGCAAGUAACACUGCCAUGGCGGACAUUGGAUGAGAUGCAAGCAAAGUGAAAUGAAUGAGAGCACUGAGCUGUGAAUAUAGCCUGGCCUGGGGUGUUUCCCUUGCUGUAACUCAGAGCUUCGAGGCAUAUUGCGCACAACUUCUGCUGCAACACAUGAUGAAUGAAAAAUUGAAAUUAGAAAAUUCUCUAGAAACUAGUUAUGAAUAAAGUAGAGGUUUCAGAAGAAUUAGAGAUGAGAACAUUGGAUUCCAUGAGUAAAUGCAUCAGUUAGUUGGUAAUGGAAAAAGCAAAAGGUAGCCCACCUUACAAUUCACGUUUCUGUCAUUGUGGUUGUCGAGAGUGGAACAAUGUGCUGCUUCCUCUGGCUUCGCGAGAGACAAUGCACUGGAAUCCGAACCCUGUUUGUAUCAUCAUCAUCAGAUGUUAGCAUUUCAAAUGGUCUAACAUAAUGAGGAAAUGCAUAGUUUAAUGAAAAAAGAGAAGAUUUUGAGUUUAUCGAAUACUGCUAGUCAUUAAUGGUUUACUCCGUACUCAAGAAAAGAAAAACGAUGAGUUGAUUUGGUCACAAUUGUAAAAUGAGAAAGAAAUUGAGGAAAUAUGAGAAGAAAGAAAGAGAAUUACAGUGAUGGAGAAGUGAUAGGAAUGAGGAUGAUCUACAUCGGCAAGAGCAGCAGGUGACGGCUUUGUGCAAGAGAAAGAGGAGCAAGCAGCCACCGCCACUGUUCUUGCUGCCUUUCUCAGCUUUGAAGACACUCCCAUUACUCAAAUCCUUCUCCUCAACUCCUAUCCUAUUCCAACUGAUAAUUACGAGAUGACACCGACAGUAAUAGCAAGUAGAAUUAAUAAUAUUUGCAAAUGUGCUUCAAACAAGUGCAGGUAAUGUUUCUGCAAAUGUUUCCACAUUUGUUUUCUGUUUCUUUGUUUCUUUCAAAUUCUCACACUAUUUUAUACCUCAGUUCAAAAGGGGAAAAAGAAAAAGAAGCCUGGGCUGUAUUUGUAACUUGUAAGCAGUGAUUUUGUCAUUACAAUAAUGGCCCCAAACUACUUUUACUUUCUUUC